GAACGUGUGGCCUAGUGGAUAGGGCGAGAGGUUCCUAACCUCUCGAUCGCGGGUUCGAAUCCCGCCACGUUCG
rnacentral:tRNA from 1 species